AAUCAUCGAAGCGACGCACUCCUCCUCCCAGCGUCGCGAGAUGUGGAUCAGCAGCACUCCUCCUCCCAGUUGCUGAUCAAGUUUAAAGCCUGCCGCACCUCCUCCCGCGGCAGGCUUUUUCC
rfam:Agrobacterium sp. DSM 25559 isolate DSM25559 genome assembly, contig: DSM25559_contig2